AGCUCCAAUAGCGUAUAUUAAAGUUGUUGCAGUUAAAAAGCUCGUAGUUGGAUUUGGGGCGCUGGUGGGACGGUCGGCCGCGAGGUCUGUUACUGUCUCUCCGCGCCAUGACAUUCUCGGAGACCCGUCGUGCACUUCGCUGUGCGCGGCGUGGGACUCGAGACGUUUACUUUGAAAAAAUUAGAGUGUUCAAAGCAGGCUCUUACAGCCCGGAUACAUGAGCAUGGAAUAAUGGAAUAGGACCGCGGUCUUAUUUUGUUGGUUUCUAAAACCGCAGUAAUGAUUAAGAGGGACAAUUGGGGGCGUCCGUAUUUCGUUGUCAGAGGUGAAAUUCUUGGAUUUACGAAAGACGAACAACUGCGAAAGCAUUCGCCAAGAGUGUUUUCAUUAAUCAAGAACG
rnacentral:rRNA from 1 species